CCUACGGGUGGCAGCAGUGGGGAAUAUUGGGCAAUGGGCGCAAGCCUGACCCAGCAACGCCGCGUGAAGGAAGAAGGCUUUCGGGUUGUAAACUUCUUUUAAGCGGGAAGAGCAGAAGACGGUACCUCUUGAAUAAGCCACGGCCAACUACGUGCCAGCAGCCGCGGUAAAACCGAGGUGGCAAGCGUUAUCCGGAUUUACUGGGUGUAAAGGGAGCGUAGACGGUUCUGCAAGUCUGAAGUGAAAGCUCGUGGCUGAACCGCGGAACGGCUUUGGAAACUGUGGAACUGGAGUGCUGUAGAGGCAAGCGGAAUUCCUAGUGUAGCGGUGAAAUGCGUAGAUAUUAGGAGGAACACCAGUGGCGAAGGCAGCUUGCUGGACAGUAACUGACGUUGAGGCUCGAAAGCGUGGGGAGCAAACAGGAUUAGAUACCCGUGUAGUC
rnacentral:rRNA from 1 species